GUGGGUAUAGCUCAGUGGUAGGGUGCGUGCUUAGCAUGCACAAGGUCCUGGGUUCCAUCCUCGUUACCUCCA
rnacentral:tRNA from 1 species